CCUACAUAAACAUAACGAACUCUUCCUAAUCCCCCCUUUCUCUCCUCUCCCCCAUCCCCUCUCUCUCUCUCUCUCUCUCCAAAAUUCCAAUUCUUCCGAACUCUUCCUUUCUGAUCUUCUCAAUCGCCGCCGUAACGGCAAAUAGAGCUUUGUAUACACGCCGUCGAUGUCAUUUUCCGAUUCCGAAGGCUCCUCCCAUGGCGCUGGCGGAGAGUACAAGACCUUCCGCCAAGUCAGCCGCGAACGGUUAUUGUACGAAAUGGUUCGAUCAUCCAAGACAGGAGAUUCAAGAUCAUCUUGGAAGGUACUCAUCAUGGAUAAAGUUACCGUGAAAGUUAUGUCUUGCUCGUGCAAGAUGGCAGAUAUUACAGAUGAAGGAGUUUCAUUGGUGGAAGACCUUUUCAGGAGAAGGCAACCUUUGCCUUCUAUGGAUGCUAUAUAUUUCAUUCAACCUUCAAAAGAGAACAUAGUCAUGUUUUUGUCUGACAUGUCAGGAAGAGAACCUUUAUACAAGAAGGCAUUCGUAUAUUUCAGUUCUCCAAUCCCUAAGGAAUUGGUUAGUCGUAUAAAAAAUGACACAAGUGUGCUUCCCCGUAUAGGUGCAUUGAGAGAGGUUGAAAUUGUUCUUUUUUUUCCAUUUAAUAAAUCUGGCAAAUGGAUAUUCUUUUUGAACUUUUGUUCUACCUGUGACGUUCUUCUUUCACUUGAUAAUAUGCAGAUGAAUUUGGAAUACUUCUCUAUGGACAGUCAGGGAUAUGUUACUGACCAGGAAAGAGCUUUGGAGGACCUCUUUGGUGAAGAUGUUGAGAAUUCUCGCAAAUUCGAAACUUGCUUAAAUGUAAUGGCUACUCGAAUUGCUACUGUAUUUGCUUCAUUGAAGGAGUUCCCCUCUGUGCGGUAUCGUGCUGCAAAGUCUCUUGAUUCAUCUACAAUGACAACAUUCCGUGACUUAGUUCCUACAAAGCUCGCAGCGGCUGUUUGGAACUUUAUUUCAACGUAUAAAUCUUCCAUUCCUAACUUUCCCCAGACUGAAACUUGCGAGUUGCUUAUCCUAGACAGAUCAGUUGACCAGAUUGCUCCCGUCAUUCAUGAAUGGACUUAUGAUGCCAUGUGCCAUGACCUACUGGACAUGGAUGGAAAUAAAUAUGUGCACGAGAUUCCUAGCAAAACAGGUGGUCAGCCUGAGAAAAAGGAGGUCCUCUUGGAAGAUCAUGAUCCUGUGUGGCUCGAGCUCCGUCAUGCACAUAUAGCAGAUGCUAGUGAGCGGUUGCAUGAGAAGAUGACAAGUUUCGUAUCCAAAAACAAAGCUGCGCAACUUCAACAGAGGGAUGGUAGUGAAAUAUCCACAAGAGACUUGCAGAAGAUGGUUCAGGCUCUGCCUCAAUACAAUGAACAAAUGGAAAAGCUUUCUCUUCAUGUGGAGAUAGCUGGAAAAAUUAACAAAAUCAUCAGAGAAAUGGGACUUAGGGAGCUUGGGCAACUUGAGCAGGAUAUUGUCUUCGGUGAUGCAGGAACAAAAGAAAUCAUCAACUUUUUCAGGACGAAGCAGGAUGCAAAUGUUGAAAAUAAGUUGCGCUUGCUGAUGAUUUAUGCAUCUGUUUAUCCCGAGAAGUUUGAGGGUGACAAAGCUUUAAAGCUUAUGCAGUUGGCAAAAUUAUCAUGUGAAGAUAUGAAGGCUGUCCAAAAUAUGAGAACGCUUGAGGGAGAAAAUGCCAGAAAGACAUCAACUGGGGGUUUCUCUCUCAAAUUUGACGCACAUAAGAGGAAGCAUGCAGCAAGAAAAGAUCGGACAGGAGAAGAGGAAACAUGGCAGCUUUUUCGAUUUUAUCCCGUGCUAGAGGAGUUGAUUGAAAAGCUUAGCAAAGCAGAACUACCAAAGGAUGAGUAUCAAUGUAUGAAUGAGCCAAGUCCAAUGGCCAAUGAGGGCAAAAGGGGUUCCCAGAGUGUAUCAGCAAUGGCAAAUCAACCUUCAGCUGCUCCACAUUCCAUGAGAUCAAGAAGGACCGCAACUUGGGCAAAGCCUCGUCAUUCCGAUGAUGGAUAUUCAAGUGAUUCGGUUUUGAAGAAUGCUGCUAGUGAUUUCAAGAAGAUGGGGCAGCGCAUUUUCAUAUUCAUUAUCGGUGGGGCCACUCGAUCUGAGCUACGGGUUUGUCACAAGCUUACGACAAAGUUGAGGAGGGAAGUUGUCUUAGGUUCAUCUAGUAUUGAUGAUCCACCUCAGUAUAUUACGAAACUGAAGUUGCUGUCAGAAAAGGAACUCUCCCUUGAUGGCAUUAGAAUUUAGAUGAUGGUUAUCAUGGGUUUGUAUAUGCUUUUUUGUGAACAUUAACAGGUUAGCCUUACUAUCUUAGAUACCCCAAAAGUACAUAAUGGAGCUGUCUUUGGCGCUUCA